UACGUAGGUGGCAAGCGUUAUCCGGAAUUAUUGGGCGUAAGGAGCGCGCAGGUGGUUGAUUAAGUCUGAUGUGAAAGCCCACGGCUUAACCGUGGAGGGUCAUUGGAAACUGGUCGACUUGAGUGCAGAAGAGGGAAGUGGAAUUCCAUGUGUAGCGGUGAAAUGCGUAGAGAUAUGGAGGAACACCAGUGGCGAAGGCGGCUUCCUGGUCUGUAACUGACACUGAGGCACGAAAGCGUGGGGAGCAAACAGGAUUAGAUA
rnacentral:rRNA from 1 species